rnacentral:rRNA from 1 species
GACGUAGGGCGCGAGCGUUGUCCGGAUUUAUUGGGCGUAAAGAGCUCGUAGGCGGCUUGUCGCGUCGUUCGUGAAAACCUGGGGCUCAACUCCAGGCUUGCGGGCGAUACGGGCAGGCUAGAGUUCGGUAGGGGAGACUGGAAUUCCUGGUGUAGCGGUGAAAUGCGCAGAUAUCAGGAGGAACACCGGUGGCGAAGGCGGGUCUCUGGGCCUUACCUGACGCUGAGGCGCGAAAGCUAGGGGAGCGAGCAGG